rnacentral:rRNA from 1 species
CGUAGUCAAUCUACCCUAUGGACGGGAAUAACCUCGGGAAACUGAGAAUAAUGCCCGAUAGAACAUUAUGCCUGGAAUGGUUUAUGUUUCAAAUGAUUUAUCGCCAUAGGAUGGGACUGCGGCCUAUCAGUUUGUUGGUGAGGUAAUGGCCCACCAAGACUAUUACAGGUACGGGCUCUGAGAGGAGUAGCCCGGAGAUGGGUACUGAGACACGGACCCAGGCCCUAUGGGGCGCAGCAGGCGAGAAAACUUUGCAAUGUGCGAAAGCACGACAAGGUUAAUCCGAGUGGUUUCUGCUAAAGAAACCUUUUGUCAGUCCUAGAAACACUAACGAAUAAGGGGUGGGCAAGUUCUGGUGUCAGCCGCCGCGGUAAAACCAGCACCUCAAGUGGUCAGGAUGAUUAUUGGGCCUAAAGCAUCCGUAGCUCGUUUUGUAAGUUUUCGGUUAAAUCCAUGCGCUUAACGUAUGGGCUGCCGGGAAUACUGCAUAACUAGGAAGUGGGAGAGGUAGACGGUACUCGGGAGGAAGGGGUAAAAUCCUUUGAUCUCUUGAUGACCACCUGUGGCGAAGGCGGUCUACCAGAACACGUUCGACGGUGAGGGAUGAAAGCUGGGGGAGCAAACCGGAUUAGAUACCCGGGUAGUCCCAGCUGUAAACUAUGCAAACUCAGUGACGCAUUGGCUUAUGGCCAAUGCAGUGCUGCAGGGAAGCCGUUAAGUUGCCGC